CUUGCCACUUAUUCCCUACUUUACCAGUAAAGAAAAAAAUGAACGCUCUUUCUAGCAAGUAAACUGAAUUUUAUCUUCUGUUCUCUUCUCCUCCGUACCAGUUCCCAAGAAUUCUGAACAAAAGAACAGGACAGAAUAUUUUUAAACCCAGAUUUGCUUGAGAAUUCUUCCUGAUUAUUUUUAAGCCCUGGACAAAGGAACUAAUAUUUUUAAGGUUACAGUAAAGGCAGUUAAAUGUAGUCAUAAAAAUUAAGCAUGUCUCAGUUGAUAGGUUAAAGAAACAAAAAACUAUAAAACUGAGUAUUGCUCCACUUUUACACAUUCUGCUUUAAAAUGCCGUAUUGCUUUUUUCCAGUCCCUGAAAUAAUAUCCUUUGCUUUUUACACCUAUCUUGGAAGAUCUCAUUGAUGAAGCUAUAAGGCACAAGUGUCUGGUAACUUAAGGUUUAUGUCUUGGGGAUCAGGCUCCUUCACAUACUGACUGCAGGGGAGACAGCUCGCAUGGAGACUGCCUCAAAUGUUUAGUAGAAGAAUUAAGUGAAAACAUAAGGAUUUUUCAUCUGCUCUGAAACAUGGUGUGUAGUAACCAGUCUUUUGGUUAUAGACUUGGGAGAAAUACAUUAACCGAAUGGGCCAGGAAACCACAAUUUCAAUUGAAGAGCUAUUUUUGAGGGCAAUAAUGAGUAGUAAAGAGCCAAAAGGAAGUUGGCUGCUUCAGAAGCAAGAAAACAACUAAAACACUAUUAUGUGUGUUAGAAAUGGCUAACUUGAUAUUUAAAUCACUUAAGUGUUAAUCAGCACAAACACUUCUGAAAGAGCUGCCAAGUGAAGGUCAAUGAGAAAGCAAGGUGAUCACAUCCCCAAAGUAUGGUCAACUAUAAAAGUACUGACUAACCUCACAGAUACCGCUCGUGCCACGGCCUCAAGUGUGGUUUCUGUGGGUGGGAUUCCAGAAUAUGCCUAUGGAAAACUGGCAAAUGCCAAAUUUGUUUUGUUUGGCAGAUAUUUCCAAAAUAUUAUAAAUUCCCCUACAGUUAGCAUUUCUACUACAUUCUAAGCCUACAAGAAUUCUCAAGACUUGCAUGGUUUGGUGCUGUGACUCACUAGAGUGGUGAGUACCCAUAGAAGUGUUCUAUGUGUUUUCAGUCAUCUAUAGUUGUAUUUACAACUGUGAGAAAAUGGCAACGAUUGGGAUUUUUUUUUCUUUCUAACAUCUAUGUGUACUGUGUCAAAACCAUUAGCAUAUGCUAAAACAUGCAUGACAAAUAGUCCUUUUUUUUUUUUUUUCCUUUAAAUGCGCCCCAUCGUGGUAACCAAAACAUUUUAAAGCAAAAAUACAACCAGCUCAAACUUAGGGCUACUUUCGGAAAGAAACUUCACGUGUAAUAUUUACAAAGUUACAUAUUUUUAAGCUGCUUCAUGAUUUUGGCAAUCUUUUUUUUUUUUUUUUUCAUCAUAAAGGAAAUGUUUAAUCACUGAAUUUUUAUAACACUAAUAUUUAUGAUUUUUAUUUAAGGUUUUGUUUUUAUAAUAAUUGCCACCAAGUGCUGUGUGCCAGGCACUAUGUUACAAGCAUUUAACAUACUGAUUUCCAUAUUGAUUUAAAUCUUCUCCCGCCCCACCCCUCCCUUAUGAAAUAUAGGUACUGUCAGUCACAUUUACACAUGAAGGAGUAUACGGAGAGGUUAAGAAACUUGCACAAGGUCACACAGCCAAUAAAUGGUGAUCCAGAAUGCCAGCACAGGUCUGUGCUAAAGUCUAAAGUCAGACUAAAGUCCAUCCAUGGUCUUAACCAUUAGGCCUGUAUUGUCUUCUAGCACACCUGCUUAGAAUUUCACAUUUAAAUAAUCCCCUUUGAUUCACAAUGUAAAAAGAGCAAGCGUUUAAGAAAUACUCUUAACCUGUCACUUUAUUAGAAUUAAAAAUGUUUCCAAUUCAUAAGCCAGAGCACUUUUUUCCUUCAUAUUGGCCCAUAUGGAAAAGGAGCAAAGAUAGUUUAUUUCUGUCUCCAUGGCUUCAUAUUUUUACAAACCUUUCUAGGAUGCUACAACAGAGCAGCUAUAUUCUAAAAGUUUAAUUGAAGAACACACAUUCUUUAUGUGUUCUGAUGAUGAAAUGUGAUUGUGCACAGUAAGAAAACAAAUGACUCCACUGAAGGAAAGAGCAGGACACUGGCAACUUUGUUUCUGGAAAUGUGUUCAUGAAUUACUUCACUAAUUAAGGAUAAGAAUAAAAAGUGCCUUAGAGGCCAUAAAUCCAUAUAACAAGUUUAAAAUCCAAAUUUAAGCAUUGGCCAAAUUCCAUUUUGAGAGUGAUUUUUUUUUUUUCUUUUUUAAAUGUUUGUUUAUUUUGAGGGAGGGGGGAGAGACAGAGGGAGAGGGAGAAUCCCAAGCAGGCUCCCCAGUGCAGGGUUUGAGCUCACAAACCUUGAGAUAAAACUGACUGAGCUACUCAGGUGCCCCCGAGUGAUUUUCUUUUUAAACCUAAGUUUCCCUGUCUUCCCUAUCUUACUUGGUUUUAACUUGAUUGCAUUAUGCAGGUAAACUGGAGUUAUACCCAAGAUCUUUCUGGAUACAGGAGCAAGUAUAUUAAAAGAUUUGUCAUUAUCUUGAAGUUAAAAGGCAAAAUUAAAGGGACUUGAUAAUGAUAAAUAUUGUGCCAGACCUCAAGUAUUUACAUUAAGUAGUAAAGGUAUUGUUAUUCUUUUUUCAUUACUCCUUUUCAGGCCCCUAGAAGAUCAAGAUUUGCAACACCCUUCCAGAGCCAACAUCAACAAACUCAAAUUAUGUAUAUCCCUAAGUAGUUGCGUGUUCUAAUCCAGUAGUUAUUUUUCUUUUCCCUCAUAUAAAAGAAAUUAAACAAAAAACUUGAGCAGCUUCAGGCACCCUUGGAGUUAAACUGGAGGAUGCACUGGGCCUACAUUACUUUUACAUAUAGCAGAAUUACUUCUAGAUACUUUUUUUUUUUUUUUAACGUUUUUUCAUUUUUGAGAGAUGGAGAGGGACAGAGCAUGAAUGGGGGAGGUUCAGAAAGAGAGGGAUACAGAAUCUUAAGCAGGCUCCAGGCUGUCAGCACAGAGCCUGAUGCAGGGCUCGAACCCACAGACCGUGAGAUCAUGACCUGAGCUGAAAUUGGACGCUUAACCGACUGAGCCACCCAGGCACCCCACCUCUAGAUACUUUUGCCUAUCAACUAGAUUGGUCUAAUAUUUAAUUACAACCCUCAGUGCAGCAAAAGUGACUUAAAAAAAUCAUACAUUAAAUGUCCUUCUAAAAAGUGCAUACAGUUAUAAGAACAGAAAUAUAAAUAGGUAAUUUACCUGGUUAUUGUAGAAUAUGAUAAAGUGAGUAUUCUCAUAUACUGCUGGUAGACCUGAAACUUUGGGAAAUUAGUUACACCUCAAAAAAAAAAAAAUUCUUUCUCUUUGACAUAGUAAAUUAGGAAGGAGUUAAGUGCAGCUGGGGGUGGGGAGAGGAUAAGAAAAGAGGAAUGGGAAGGAUUAAAGUCAGGAGACAUUUUGAAAUGGUAGUAACUGGAGAGUAAAGAUAGGGUAGGUAGUCUUUACAAGUACAGUGUCAGGAGUCAAGAAUUUGCAUUGCAGCCCUGAUAUAUAAUGUUUACCUGGCUUUGCACACUCAGGUAUUAUAAGUAAUCUGUCUGAGUCUCAUUUUCCUUAUAAAUGGUCAUGACAGUACUUUCCUUAGUUGGUUGUUCCGAGAACUAAAUGAUGCAGAGUACAUGAUUUGCUUGCUUUUAUAUAAUAGGUGUGAUACAUGCUCGCAAGAUCUAAAAUAUAAAAUUACCAGAUUUUUAUUGGGUGCAAUGCCCAUCCCAAGUUAGUUUAAUUCCAGUUAACUCACUUGGUAUAAAGUACACUGACUUCUUCAGUUAGAGGUUAAUGGACUGAAGGUGUAGUUCUAGUAAUCAGAGCUACGGGCCAAUGAUAAAGAUCAAGAGUACUAUGAUACAAACCAACCUACAGGCUCUCAAUCCCCUUCAGUCCACCUCAAAGCUACAAUGCAGACCUUGAGAUCUCUAUUCCUGGACAUGAAAUAAUAAAAUAGUUCACCUUCAGGUAACUCAAGAAUGCACUGAUUUCUCAGAAGCCAUAGGCAUGACAGUAACUCCUACCCAACUUGGAACCUCAUUAUUUUACUGCUUUGUGGCCAUUAUGUAAGUAAGUACUCCGUUAGAGGAACAGAGAAAUAUUUUCUUUUCUGAUUUGGUUUUUAAGAGUAAAUUCAGAACAGUUUUCCCCUGAAACAGUUCAACACAGAAUAUUAACUAGCAUUAGUUAUAGAUUCUUAGCUUUGUGAAGAGAUGGACUGUCUUUUACUCACCAUUAUAUCCCCAGUGUUCAUAUAGUGCUUAUUACAGACUGGGCUCCCAAUAAAUACAUGUUAAAUAACAAAUACCACAAAGCCUUUGUUCAUUUCGUGAUGGCUGGUUAAAUGGGCAGCAUCUGCCUCUCACCUGGUACAUCCCAUAUGAACUCUCCCUGCUUCACUAGCAAUCCCUAGUCUGUUCUCCAUUCACCAGCAUAAAGGAUCCUUUGCCACAGUACUUUGAGCAGGUCAUUCUAAUGCUCAAAGCCCACCCAAGUUACAGCAUCACAUGAUACAAUCACAAGUCCUUGUCCUGGCACGAUCUAGCUCCCCGUCUAUCUCUGAUUUCCUCUCUAAUCACUCUCUCUCCACCCCAGUACCAUACUGGCCACAAGCUCUUUACUGUUCCCUGAAUAUGUCACACUGUUGUCUCAAGACCUAUGUAGUUCUCUUCCUCUGGCUGCAGUGUUCUCCCUUUCCCUUCACCCCUGUUUAUUCUCUGUUCAAAGUGUCCUCAGAGAAGUCUUCCCUGUCUUUUCUAAAAUAGUAUCCCAUCUCCUCUCCCAUCACUCAUUUGUUUUUCUUUAUUGCACUUACUGCUAUAUGACUUUAUUUUUUAUUUGUUCAUUUGCCCCCACUAAGCUCCACAAAGGCUGGAUUUUUUUUUUCUUUUUUAUUUAUUGCAGCUUCCCUAGCACCUAGAAGAGUGCCUGGCACAGAGUAAAAGUACUCAGUAAAUAUUUAUUGAAGGAAUAUAUGAAUAACUACCCAAGUUAUUCCCAGGAAAUCCUGAUUUCUGCCUCCAAUUGCUCAUCAGAAGACCUGAUCACAUAAAUCUAAGUGCAAAAGGCUAAAUAUUUUUAUAUAAUGUACAUAAAUUCUGUAGAUCCUGACUGAUGGAGUAAAGCUGGCCUCAGAUUUUACUAUCCAGGUCCAAUGUUGAAUAUGCCAGCCAGCUCUAAAGACAACAAAAGUACUGUAAAGAUUAUAAUGUUUUGCACAGUGGCAAUAUCUGAUCUUGUGGCUACUGAUCAUCAGAUGAUAUACAAGAAGGAAGAGCUCACUGUACUAGGAGAUACAGGAGAAGGGUUCUUAGAGAGGGACUAGGGUCAGGCCUUCAAGAUAAUCUGGAUUUAGAAAAACUAAGGAGGAAGAUACUAAUGGGAGAAUAACGGUUGAAAAGCGUUUGCAAAGAAGAAAUAAACAUAGCAGAAUCAGUUAUGCAAGGUUAGAGAUAAAGAGCAGUGGAAAAUAAGGUUGGAUGAGUGUGGUGGAGACAAAUUAUGAAAAGCUGUGAAUACUAACAGGACUCUGAAAUGACUUCUUAGGCCAUAGAGAUCAAUUGAAAGCUUUCAAGCAGAGGAAUGAUUGAUGUAUGAAACAGCAUCUUAACAACUGUUGAUCAGUGUGCUGAAGGGACCCAGGCCUGGGAUACAGAGCUCAGUGAGCCUAAAGACAGUAAGACUGACUAGAUUGUCACUCCCAAGGUUCAAUUAACAAACUGAUGAAGGGCUUGCAUGAUACAGUGGUAACAAGAAUGGAUAGAGAUGCUCUGAUCCAAUAAUCAUUUUGAAAGAACAACUCAUUGAAUCUGGGGACUAGGCGUAGGUAAUAAAAGAGAGGGGGUAAAUCAAAGAUGAUGUAUGUAAUUUUAAAUGAUGGCUGUUUGCUUAACUUUUAAGUGUUUUAUUUGGCAUUAGGAUACAACAGGAGCAGGAGAGGGAAUGGAAGCAAAUUAACAGGCUGGCAAUUUCUUUUUUAAAUCAAGAAUGGGGCCCCUGGGUGGCUCAGUCAGUUAAGCGUCCGACUUCUGCUCAGGUCAUGAUCUCACAGUCUGUGAGUUCAAGCCCCGCGUUGGGCUCUGUGCUGACAGCUCAGAGCCUGGAGCCUGCUUCGGAUUCUGUGUCUCCCUCUCUCUCUGACCCUCCCCCGUUCAUGCUCUGUCUCUGUCUCAAAAAUAAACAAAUGUUUAAAAAAAAUUUUUUUUAAUAAACCAAGAAUGGGUAAGUUAAUUCUAAAUAAUAAAGAGAUGGUUAGUGUUUUGUGAUUAUAUUUUAUCCUGAAAUAAUGUGCAACUGUUACUAAAGAUUAAUUAUAGCCUGAACAACAUGUGCAGCUUAUUUAGACCACAGUGUGUCAGAAUGCACUCUCUCUGCAAAGGUAGAGUAUCUAGACUUUCUCACUGGAUCACACAUUUUAUUGUAAUAUAAGAAAUGUUGUAUUGUGAUGGGAAAUCUUACUUUCCAUGGAAAUAUAUAUAAAUUACAUUUGCCCUACAUUAGAAAUUCUUUGAAAAUGGGAAUCACAUUUCUGAUCCGUAAGUUUUUUAAAAUGUCCAUUAUAAUAACAGACGUACAUGGACAUUUACAUGGCAAACAUAGAAUAAGUGCCUGCUUGACACCAUGAAUUAUAUUAAAGCAGAGGUUAAAGGAAGAAUAGGGACUUAGAGGUAAACAAAGCAGGGACGUAUGGGUGGCACAGGAAGUAGCCCAUGUGGCUAGAAUGUAAGAUGCAAAGAGAAUGGGAUGAGGUGAGGGGUAAAAGCCAGGCUCAGACCAUAAGACCCUUAGGCUUAAAGUAGAAGUUUGACUUUAUUCUUACAUAUAAAUGAUUCUCAGAAUAAACCAUGGAGGUUUUCUUGCUGUAUAUCAGUAUGGACAGGGGGUUCUGAUCUCCCAACACCAAACACAGUAGCUGGUCAAAUAUAUGCUGACUAAUGCAGAAGGGAAAACAGUUUGGGACAUAAUUAAGUGUGAAGAUUGUAUAGGUUAUCUAGGCAGAGAUGUCUAUUAGCUAACUGGAGACACGGGACUGGCCUGGAGCUUAGAAGAAAGGUCUGGGUAGGACAUAAAAGCAUGGAUGUCAUCUGAAACAGCUCACUAGGAAGAGGCAAGAACUAAGGAGAAGAUAAUCUGAUAUAAAGCCCACAGAUCUGUGCCUAGCACACAAAACUCUCAAAUGUUUGCUGUUAAGCAGUGAACCAAAAGAUAAAUGGCAGCAAAGGAGCCUCCUGUUUUACAGAAGAACAACACUAAAAGUACUGAUGACUGACCAGAAGCAGUGCUACCAAAUGCCUACUCAACCCACGACAUGCCAGGACAGAGAAACAGACAUAUAAGAGAAGUUACUGAUGGCAGUGAAUUGCACAUGUAAAGUCUAUGGCAAUAUAAAGCAGACAAAGGUUGAGAAUCUCUGGACCACAGCAUACCUUUUUUACCCCUGGAGGGCAGAAACUGUAACCUAACUUUGUGAAAGUUUCUUCCUGAUUGUGGCCAACAUGGAACCAGUUAAACGUGUGUUUAAUUACUAAAAUGAGUCACACAAGAUGACCAGCCUGUGAAAGUUUGCUGACAUAAUACUAUUGGAUGGAGAAAAACAUCUUUAAAAAAAAUUCAUAAAAAUAGGUCAUGGAUUAAGAGGCCAAAUGGAGCAAUAUACAUGCAAACAUUUCCCAUAACAGAGUACUAAACAAAUGUGCUUUGUAUGGUUAGAAAACAAUUCUGAGUACUUGAGAGGAAUAACCAUCUAAUAAGACCUAAAGCAGACACUGUCACAUAACAACUUCACAUUUCUUUUUCUUCAGAAGUUAAGACAUCCUGAAUAUAGUUAACAAAAGCCUAGACUUGCUUAGUUCUGGUCUACAAUAAUCUGUACUUGAAAAGUCAUGAUUUUGUCAUUUGUACUUGAAAAGUCAUGAUUUUCUUCUCCUAUCUUAGAGGUACUUAGUGCAGGUAUUAUCAGAGGUAGGUUAAGUGGUUAGCUCGAGGUCACACAUCUAGUCAUAAAACCAAGUCUUUUGGUUCCAAAUCUUGUAUUUCCACCAUACCAUUUUGCUGACUUCCUAAAAAUUAACUGCUGACUUGCACACCGCUAUGGGAUUCAUAAGAACUACUCCCACCCCUCCAGUUGUUAUGGCUGUGAUACAAAUUGCCAAAGUUUAUCUGUGGUAGAAGAAAACCCAGGAACCAGCUAUAGGAAAGGAAAUAACUUGUGACUUCAGCGGAACUUGGGGGCCCUCUAUAAUUCCUAAAAUGGAACAAUUCCUGCAGAAAGAAGAGGUAAUAUAAUGAACAUUGUUCACUGAUUUCUACUGGAUUUCUACUAGACCCAGUAAGAUAUGUAAUUCCUUUUUUUUUUUUUAAUGAGAGAAGUUUUCAAACAUGCACAAGAUUAAAAGACGACUACAUAUUACCAUCACUGAGUUUCAGCAAUUCUCAAUAUACUAUUUUUGUUAGAUCCACCUUUUACUUUUUUCCUUAAGAUUUUGUUUUUGCUUUUUUGUUGUUUUUUUUUUUAGAGAAAGAGAAAGCAUGAGUGGGAUAGAGGGGCAGAAGGAGAGAAUCCUAAGCAGGCUCCACGCUCAGUGCAGAGCCUGAUGAAGGGCUCAAUCCCAUGACCCUAGGAUCAUAACCUGAGCUGAAAUCAAGAGUUGGACGCUCAGCCAUCUGAGCCACCCAGCCCUUAAGUAUGUUAAAGCAAACAUUGAGACAUAACAUUUUAGCAACACAUACUUUAGUAUGUGUCUCUAAACGAUAAGGACAUUAAAAAAACCACAGUACUAUUAUCACAUCUAAAAAAAUGAACAGUAUUUUCUUAAUAUCAUCCAGUACCCAAGGCAUAUUCAGUUUCCUCAGUUGCCUCAAAACAGAUAAUUUUUUACAGAUAUUUACUCAAACUAGGAUCCAAGCAGCAUCCAAACAUUGCACCUGGUUGGUAACUUGUCUCUUUUAAUCUAAAAAUACUGUGCCCCCAUUGUGUAUCUUAUUUGUUAAAUAAACUCGGUCCUUUGUCCCGUAAA